AGUCCCUGACCUGGGUAGAGUGGCACCUGGUCUCUGGUGCCAGCCAGUCUGGGGCAGAGCAAUUCCUUGUUUAUCCCAGCUUGGCUUUCAGUCUGUGCCGGUGCCUGGUUCAUGCCCUGGACACACGG
ensembl:snoRNA small nucleolar RNA, H/ACA box 48